rnacentral:rRNA from 1 species
UACGUAGGUGGCAAGCGUUGUCCGGAUUUACUGGGCGUAAAGAGCGCGCAGGCGGUCGGCCAAGUCGAGUGUGAAAGCCCCCGGCUCAACUGGGGAGGGUCAUUCGAUACUGGUCGACUCGAAGGCAGGAGAGGGAAGCGGAAUUCCCGGUGUAGUGGUGAAAUGCGUAGAUAUCAGGAGGAACACCAAUGGCGAAGGCAGAUCUCUGGGCCGUAACUGACGCUGAGGAGCGAAAGCAUGGGGAGCGAACAGG